GACGAACGCUGGCGGCGUGCCUAAUACAUGCAAGUAGAACGCACAGUUUAUACCGUAGCUUGCUACACCAUAGACUGUGAGUUGCGAACGGGUGAGUAACGCGUAGGUAACCUGCCUGGUAGCGGGGGAUAACUAUUGGAAACGAUAGCUAAUACCGCAUAAUAUUAAUUAUUGCAUGAUAAUUAAUUGAAAGGUGCAAUUGCACCACUACCAGAUGGACCUGCGUUGUAUUAGCUAGUAGGUGAGGUAACGGCUCACCUAGGCGACGAUACAUAGCCGACCUUAGAGGGUGAUCGGCCACACUGGGACUGAGACACGGCCCAGACUCCUACGGGAGGCAGCAGUAGGGAAUCUUCGGCAAUGGACGAAAGUCUGACCGAGCAACGCCGCGUGAGUGAAGAAGGUUUUCGGAUCGUAAAGCUCUGUUGUAAGAGAAGAACGGGUGUGAGAGUGGAAAGUUCACACUGUGACGGUAUCUUACCAGAAAGGGACGGCUAACUACGUG
rnacentral:rRNA from 1 species